UUCAGUGUAUAUUAAUUAUUUAUUUUCAUUUUACUUAAAAUAUAUGUUUUUGUUAAGUUAACAUAUGUUUUUCUAAUCAAGUCUACGUAAUUGUGUCUAUUAUUCAACGUACAUAAUACUAAUGUGUUACUUGAUCGCAUAACAUUUAAGUUAAGUCAAUGAGGAUCGAUAUACCUUGUAUAUCCACAAGGUGGCAGUAAUGCAAAAACAGUUGUAAUGAAACCGCGCAGAACAAGAAGGUUUCACGGCUUGUGCCUGCUCAUGCGCAAGACUUCAAAUUUAACUGAAAAAGGCUGUUUUGGCGCCAAGCUGCUGUUUCUUUGAGAGAUCCUGCCUUUACCUGCUCCCUCCUAUACUGAUGUGGUGUAUGUGGUACUGCUGAGCUUGUAUGUGGUGGAAGCAGAAUAUGUGAGGAUUACUACUGCUGCACAUGUUCCAAGGCUUUUUACACAACUUGACCAAUACACUGACCAGCUCAUAAAAGUCUUCAAGAAAAAAGGAGGCGUUGCAGGGAAGAAAAUUAGACAAACUUUGGCCCCAGCCACACAGAAGGAAACCAUUGAAAAGGGGAGGGAGUGUGUCCUCAGGGCACUACCUUUUUACCUGAAUGAAGACUCAAGCAUCCUCUUCAAAGAAUAAUUGGUUGGUAAUUUUAGUUUAGUUUUUUAUCUGUAUUAAACCAAAUUUUGAAUAACUAAUGUUGUUGCAUGUUGUAAUGUUGUUGUUGUUGUAAUUUGCAUGGAACCUGUUUAAAUGUUUUGGGAAAUCUUCUUGUAUACCCAAACUAUUUAUAUUUAUCGUUGAAUCUGUAGUCUGAAAUAGUGGCACACUGGGGUGCAUGUUCCUAAUAUUGUGUUUACGUCAUUAAAGGGUAGCUUUGGCCCUUUUUCUUUCUUUUUUUAAAACUGGAUGCCAUUUUUCUAUGUUUUUGUGUCUAAGCUACAGCUGUUCAGAGGGAGCUGGAACAAAUUACCCUUGCUAUCUUUACCAUCGAAAGAGCUGAUGCCAGCACUCCUCCAGCCGAUGUGGGUAUAACCAUCUAGUGUGUCCUGCAUGACCUGGAAGACCUGGCCUCUGCAUGUGCACUCUUAAUGGGUGGGAUAUAUGCACUGAAUCUCAGUUAACCUCAAGACUGAAAGCUAAGAGACAAUCAAAAGUAUUGAGAUUUAAAGGAUUUAAUUGAGAGAUGAUACUGCA